rnacentral:rRNA from 1 species
GACGAACGCUGGCGGCGUGCUUAACACAUGCAAGUCGAACGCUGAAGCACCAGCUUGCUGGUGUGGAUGAGUGGCGAACGGGUGAGUAAUACGUGAGUAACCUGCCCUUGACUCUGGGAUAAGCCCGGGAAACUGGGUCUAAUACUGGAUGCUACAUGUCACCGCAUGGUGGUGUGUGGAAAGGGUUUACUGGUCUUGGAUGGGCUCACGGCCUAUCAGCUUGUUGGUGAGGUAAUGGCUCACCAAGGCGACGACGGGUAGCCGGCCUGAGAGGGUGACCGGCAACACUGGGACUGAGACACGGCCCAGACUCCUACGGGAGGCAGCAGUGGGUAAUAUUGCACAAUGGGCGAAAGCCUGAUGCAGCGACGCCGCGUGAGGGAUGACGGCCUUCGGGUUGUAAACCUCUUUCAGCAGGGAAGAAGCCACAAGUGACGGUACCUGCAGAAGAAGCGCCGGCUAACUACGUG